UACGGGGGGGCAAGCGUUGCUCGGAAUCACUGGGCGUAAAGGGUGCGUAGGCGGGUCUUUAAGUCAGGGGUGAAAUCCUGGAGCUCAACUCCAGAACUGCCUUUGAUACUGAGGAUCUUGAGUUCGGGAGAGGUGAGUGGAACUGCGAGUGUAGAGGUGAAAUUCGUAGAUAUUCGCAAGAACACCAGUGGCGAAGGCGGCUCACUGGCCCGAUACUGACGCUGAGGCACGAAAGCGUAGGGAGCAAAGCAGG
rnacentral:rRNA from 1 species